AUCCUUGAAACUUUUUCACAGAGCAGUUAAUCUCUCUAAUGGGUGGUACAGUGGUGUAGAUGGGUGGCACAGUGGUGUAGUGGUUAGCACUAUCAUCUCACAGCAAGAAAGUCCUGGGUUGCAAACCAGCAUUUUACUCCAUGUUUUAACCUUUUUAGAACGUGAGGCAAGUCAUUCCACCCAAAAGUCUGAAAUGUCAAACAUUUCAGUCUGUGACCGUUGGGCUUUACCGCCUCUGUGCUAGUUUAACAUGUCAUUGAUCUCCAGUAUUUUCCAGAUCAUCUUUGCAAUCUUGUAAUCCCAAAACAACUCACUCCCACCCAAGGUGACCCGACGCAAAGAUAUGCUCCAGUAACAAUCAAGAUAAAUGAAAAGAUACUGCAUGUCAAGCUUAUGAUGGCCUUUGUUAUUCAAGGUGACCUGUUUAACCUUAUAUCCAUGUGUUGAGUUAAGGUUUGUAUUAAAUUGUGCUGUGUGUGCAUUAAAGAGCAAGCACAGAGCCUACCCUCAUGUCUGUCACCAGAAAUCUAUUGUGCGUCUGUCUGUCAGUGCCCUCAGGGAGGUUUUCAUGUGCCUGUUAUAUCCAUUUCGUACUUCAACAGACAUGCUUUCAUACAUACAUACAGAGAGUUUUCACUCGUUGUUUGACUUUCUUACUCAUUUUCCAUUCUCUUUGCAUUUUUUCUAUGAAUUGAAAAAUUAUGGCAUGCACUAAGGGAAUUCAAGAAUCAGAUUAUUCUUUAUUGGUCCACUAAAUUCAUCCGCUAUGGUUUAGUGAGAUCUGUAAGUUCAACCCUAUUGUUUGAAAAAUGGUCUCAUGAACAGCUUUAUUAUUUUACUUUAUGAUCGAGAAGGAAAAUGUAACUGAUGCCUGCAAAAGACUCACUGGCUGCUUUACUUUUCUUCCUGGUGUACGUUAUGCAGCACUUAAGCGCAACAUGUGGGUCAUUAGUGCAUGGUUGGACACAUGGUUGUAAUUGCUGAGUGCCUUACAUAAUUGUGGCAUUUCAUGUCAAAUUAUGCAUGGAAAAAUGGCGAAUAAGGAAUGUCAAAUAAUAAAUGAAUACUUUUUACAAUGUUUUUCCAAGAGUCAAGGGUUAAUGUAGAGCAGAAACGUGCUUUGUAGCAUUGAAGCAAGAAUGUUUACUUGACCACUUAUUACUUCAGCAUUUGCAGCUGAAUCUAUUCAGUAACUCCCCUGACCUGUUGCUGAACUGAGUCGCAUAUAUCACUAACAUUUUUACACACACAGAGACACACACAGACACGCACACAGAGGUAACAGCAGUUUAACGACACCCCAAGCUUUUUGUUUCUCUACAAAUAAUUACAUCCAAAAAUUAAUCCUAUCAUCCGCUUGACUGUCACAGGUCCUGUAGGCUGCAGGUAGGAGUAUAUGAUGAAGAUAUGUGCAUGCUGACAGAGAAAAAGGUCAAGGUGGGAAAUCAAAGGAUUUUCUCAUACUUCAAGACUGAACUCUCUCCCUCUCUCUCUCUCUCACUCUCUCUGCAUUGAGCAGGCCUGCACACAUGCACACCGUGGCAUGCUGCCUGGGAGCUUAACUUACAUUAACAAAGCUGUUUGGAUAGAUUUAAACUGGCUUUAUGAGCAGUGUACCACAUGCAUACACACUCACUCAUAUUUCCCUCCAUGCUUAAUCACUUGGAUCUUUUCCUUGUAUCCUUGUUUUGGAUGCAGCGUCAGAUAGCUCAGAAGAUCAUGGCCAAAUGUUUUCUUUGGACCAAACUGCGGAAAAACAGACAAACAUCACUGACUGAAAAAGAUUUUCCAGUUCUAGUUCUCCUCAGACCUCACAUUGUUUGAAGAGGAAAAGAGCAGCUUGUUUGAGUUUAAGAAAGUCAAAGUCCCUGAGGUGCCGGGGAGCAGCGGAGGGUGAGAGAUUGAGCUAAACAGUGACAUCACCCUGCUCUUAAUGCUCUGACAGAUGACUAAAGUGUAGUUUGCGAGCAAGUCUCAGGGUGUGAAUGACUCUUUCUGAGCAGAUAUGAGUGUGAGAAAGGUUAAGAAAGUCUUCCCUCCAAAGUUUAGGAUUUGAGUUUGAGAUUUCUUUUUAAAAACAUGGACUGAAUGCUCAGACUUCUUGGAAAUCAGGCAAAACACUCUGUAGCUCCCAAACCCAAAGCAAUUGAAAGGUUUCAGACCCCCGAAGCUCUGCAUGACUGAGAAAACCACAGUUGGUAAUAAUAAACAGGAUGGAGAGCAGGAUGAAGAGUAUCUGGCAGCAUCCAAAGAGCCACUAAUUUUCCACUUUUCGGAAAAUUCAGCCUACAAUUAGGGUCAAACGUAGCCAGAAACUUGACAUCCAUGUUACUGACGUUGGUAAUUCAUGGUGCACACUGGGAGUUAACCCAGUGUCUGUGCAUGAGAUGACACAGUCCAAGACCACAGAAGAUGAAAAGGGAAUGCACUGUGAGGAAAGAGCAGGAUAGAUGGAGAGGAAAAUCAUGAAAGAGCUGUGUUUCCACACCUUUGCACAUCUAGAAUGGGAUCUGAAAGAUUUUGUGGGGACAAUGGAUCAAAGGAGGCAUCAGACAGGAUACAGAGAGGAAUUCUGGGUUGUCUGAGGUCGCAUUGAGUUCAAAGUCGCCGGCAGAGAAAUGUGUGAAAUGUUUGAAAUGUGUGAGUCAGUAUGGAGGACAUCCAAAUAACCCAGUUUUAUUCAGUCAUUCAUGCUCCCUGAGCAGGUCAUCAGCUCUACAGUAGAGCUCCUCUCAUGAUUGAAAAACUAUUGAAUGUCCCUCUUCACUUUUGCUAGAGCGGUUUUCCCCUUUGACUACAUAAAGAAUAAAAUGUGUCCUGAAUGUUCUGGCCCGUAAACGUUUUUGGAAACUGGGAUUCUUUGAGAAAUAUGACUAAUAACAUCUUGUAGUUUUACCACUGACCAAAUCCAUAUUCGGGUUCAUCCUUUCCAUUUUUUACCAAACCAGACAAUGCAACCACUAAGAUCACACACACACACACACACACACACACACACACACACACACACACACACACACACACACACACACACACACACACACACACACACACACACACACACACACACACACAUUUGUGCAUUUGGAAGCCUUUUCUCAAUCAGGCAGAAAAGUAAUAAUGUUUAAACAGAGUGCUCAGUUUUUGCCAAGGUGCAAACAGUGUUGUUGAAAGACAUGCAAAUAAAACCUAUUCCAACACGCCCUGUGACUCAUGUCAAAUGGACGGAAUUUAAAACAAAUCAAACUUCAGUUCAGUUCUGUUUUUGGUCUGUGUACCUUUUUGGUUGAAAAUUAAGAGAGUGACAUAAAUCUGUUAUUGGUGGCUUUCAUAUAGAUGUCGUAGUUCACUUAAGUUAUAAAAUUGUAGUUAUAUAAAACAAAUGUUAAAAAAUGAUUGCUUUACUCAUGCUGGACGAGAUGAGUCAAAUAUGUCGAAUUUAAAGAGGCCAUGGCAUGAAAAACGGACUUUGUUAACGGGAGGGGGUGCAUAUCAGGGAUAGAAAACCGCUACAAUCCCCCCAAGUUUGAAAAAAUUCCAUCCAGUCGUUUUUUAGUUAUCUCUGUAUUUUGGAACUGUUUGUUCAGAGCCGUUCUGAAAACUCCACUGACAUGACGUCAUGUCAGUGCUGGCGGGUUGAUGGCAGAGCAGUGGAUUAAACAAACAUUAAAGUUUUAAUCCACUGCUCUGGUUGAUGGUACUGCCCAUGGAGCCGCCCACUCACCUGCCCAAAAAAUUAUCAAAACAGCGCCAUUACUUCCGGCCGCUCGCUCGCAUUGCUCCGGUUGGAACCAUGGCGGAAGUACGAUCUGAAAAAGAGGCAGCGUUUGCUCUGUUGUUGGCUGCACAAACGAGCACAAAACUCUUUUGAAAACUCCCUCGUCGGAGCAUUUGAGGACUCAAUGGGUGGAUUUUAUGUAUAAUGGGAAUGUACCCGCGGCACUUCCAAAAUAUCUGUACGUAUGUGCGCACCAUUUCACUUCGGACUGUUUUAUCAACGAGGGACAGUUCAACGCUGGAUUUGCUAGAUGUCUGAAGAUAAAGAAUGGAUCCCUACCAACUAUCCGUGAUCCUACUACAAACGUGGCAUCUGUAAGUGUGAACGUUUUAUUUUGACUUACUGUUUAGACUAAAUCGGAUUUAGUAAAUCCCCCCCCGGUGCCUCAGCACGGCCACCACGCUUUGAUAAACACACCGGAUCCGCGCCGGUUUACCGGAUCCUCCCGUAUUUUAGCCGCUCGCUUCUUCCCCGACAGCUCCGCCGGCUGGGGACAAAAUCCUCCUCCGGAGCAGCAUGUAGCUUUAGCAUUUACCCAUGCGGCGACGCGCCUCUUUUGGCUCAAAUACGGGACGUCCCGGCUAAUGCUGGACGGUCGGCCAUCUAAUUUAUUAGCAAAGGCUUCAGAGAAGUUUUAGAGCACCAAAAUCUUGCUCCUUAAGCGUGACCCUCCUGGCGGCUUUGAAUAAUACAAAGGAUGUGUCGACUAGGUCGCUUCAAGUCGCGUUUGGUCUGAACGCGGCUAAGAGUUUCUUCCGGAGCCUCUCCCUCUGGGUCAGACUCUGGCUCAAACUGGUAGGGUUGUACGAGCGAUCUUCUUGCAGCCAUGACCGAGCCAGUGUAAACAUUAGCACAUGGCUAUCGGAGCACAGCCACAGCCCCUUCCAGAGAGAUGGGUGUAAAGUAGACGUGGCUUAGGUGCAGCUCAUUUCAUUAAAGAGAAAUGGCCCAAAACGGAGGAUUUUGAGCGGAGCUGUUUUUAGCUUAUAAAAAGAGCACUAAAAUAAUUGAUCCAAAUCGAAUUUUGACCGAAGGACGUCACAGACAUGCUUUUAACACACCAGGGGACUAUUUUAAGUUGUGUGAAAUUGGCAUGCCAUGGGACCUUUAAGGUUGAGUCUUUGUAAUAAAUCAAACAAUAAGUUUUGUCUAUACCUGCUCUUUUGAAAGGCCUUUUAAAAGAUGCUUCUAUAAAAAGAAAAAAAAAACACUCAUUGUUAUACUGUAGCUCAUGAACUAGGGGUGGUAAAUGAAAGGUGACCCACAGUAUGAUAUUAUAUGGAUAGGAUACUAAACCACACCAUACAAUACCACAUGACAUGAUACGAUACAAUACGAUACAAUACGAUACAAUACGACACGAUACGGUACGAUACAAUACGACAAGACACAACACAAUACGAUAAAUAAAAUACAAUACGGCGCAAUACGACACGACACGAUACAACAUGAAACGAUAAAUAUGAUAUGAUACAAUAUGAAACCACUAGAUAUGAUACAAUACGAUAUGAUACGAUACGACAAGACAUGACACGAUAUGAUAAAUAAAAUACAAUACGACACGAUAAAUACGACACAAUAUGAUACGAUAAAUAUGAUACAAUACGACACGAUACGAUAAAUAUGAUACAAUACGAUACGAUAAAUAUGAUACGAUACAAUAUGAAACCACUAGAUAUGACACAUAUGAUACGAUACGAUACGACACAACACAGUAAAUAUGAUACAAUAUGAUACAAAAUGACAUGACACGAUACAAUAAAAUACGGUAGUAUGCAAUAAUGAAAAAUGAUGGGAUUAUAUCAGUAUGAUACAAUAUAAUGCAGUGGGAUGUGAUGUGAUACCACACAACACAAUAUGAUGUAAUACGGUACCAUAUGAUACCAUAUGAUACAAUGGGAUAUGAAGGCACAUCUGAAAAGAAAUACACAUUUUAGUGCUUGGACAAACCUUUGCAGUUUCUGGGUGAAAGGCUGUUCACGUUUUAAGCUCAAACUUAAUAAGAUAAAUGUUUUUCUUACAUAUGUUUAGUUAUACCUUUAUGGGUUAAAGUCAUAUCUACUAGGAUGUCAAUGUCUCUGUAGCUUUCAGCAAACUUUUGCCUCAUGAGUAUGGUGUAAGUCCUACACAUUAGGCCAGUUUGCAGCAUUUAGGGGUGUUUUCCCACUCAUUGUCAAUAAAAUGGGCAGUAAAGAUCAUAUAAGUCUCUGGGGACCAUGAAGUCCCCCCAUUGGUAACUGAAACGUGCUAUGCAGACAUGAGUUCAUCAGAUUAUUUGAAAGAAGCUGUAGCAUCCAUCAUAUAUCUAAUGGGUCUGCCAACAACAUUCAACCCACAGCGUACUUUUCCUUCCAACAACGCGAAAACUUCACAUGCCAUCCUGAAUGAAACACAGAAACACUUCAGAUCACUUACAAUGACUCCAAAAUGUUGUAAACAUGUGGGAUGGAAAAUAUAGCAACAUAAAUCCAAACAGCCUGGCAGCACUAACAAAAAACACAUUCAACACUUGGUCAAACUCUUACUGCUUUUUUUGCAGACUUCAUCAAAAUAAGAAAGGAAUAACAAAAGACCACCUCAGUUUUAAUUUUGGCAUUCAAGCUAUUACUCUAAAAUAAAGAGGGACACAUCCUGGUGCAUGCAUGCUUUUUUUUUUUAGCUUUUAAAAUGGUUUCCAGCCCAACAGAAAGUUUGUGUGCUCUGGUCUUUGGUCAAGAGCCGUGUGGACAUGAGAAAUAAUUUCCCUGAGUGCAAGACCAACAGUGAAAUCCAAAUUCUCAAGAGUUAACCUUGCUUGCUCGCCAUAACUGGUCCGUGGAAUUUAAUCUGGUGCUACAGUCGUUUUUGUAGACUAGAAGUAAAACACUGAGCUCACUCUUUUUGGCUCACCGAGAUACUUAUGCUGCGUUUCCCUCCUUUGAGUCUCCCUGAAGACUCGAGAGAGCUUCCAGUACAUGGCUGAGGCAGAACGCACGGUAUUUCGAUUCUAGUCAGACUGGAACUGCACAGGUCUCUGAGGGCGAACACACACAUCAGUCAUCUUUAUUGAACCAGACGUAGACAGGCAACAAUGAAAAAUCACCUCUCUAGCCAGAGUACAGCUGCUCUAAUGUAUGAAGAAGAUGAGGAAAUGUUUCCACUGAAAUCAAAGCCAUGUUCACAGAGGUGCCAAAUACCUUCACUUGUUGAGCAGGAAUCUAAAUGAUGGAGUUAUAAAGAAGGUGCAGACGUAGAGACAGAAAGUGCAACACAUCAUAACACCUCUGACACGAUCAGCACUGAAUCACAGAUGUUAUGAGCCUCCUCUCUGUUCUCAUCACUAGCCUUACUAGCAGCAUCCUGCUACUUUGCAUCAGUAUUUCAUUAUUUACUUAUUUUAUUGAACUGAACUGUACAAACAAAAGCUGGCUGUAUUACAGGCACAUUUUGCACAUGUUCAAGUUCUAGUAAAUGUUACUGACUUUGGUGAUUUUGGGGCAGCGGUAGCUCAGGAGGUAGAGCGGAUGUCCAAUAACCAGAAGGUUGGCGGGUCGAUCCCCCCCUAUCCCGAGUCUGUCUGUUGUGUACUUGGGCAGGACACUUAACCCACUUUGCUCCCAGUGUGUGUCCUCUGCUGGUGUAUGAAUGUGAGUGUUGUGUGGUGGUGCUCGGAGAGGCCUUAGGCACCAUGUUUCCGUCAGUCUGCCAGUUUCAGGCAGCUGUGACUACUAAGGUAGUUUACCACCACCAAGGUGUGACUGUGUAAGCGAAUGAAUGAUGCGCAGCGGACCUGACUUACGCCACGCAUGCGCCGCGUCGCCGGCGAGGCAUGAAAAUAGAGCCCCUUUUAUCCAUCUAGGUAGAAAUGAUAAAUGAGAUGGUCUGGUCUAGGGAGAAUUUCCUGAUUCUUGCCCUUUCCUUUCCUGUCCCAUGAUAGCUGAGCUAACUGUUGUUACUUAUGUUUUAAAAGAAUUUCUGAAUUGUUGAUUCCACUUUUGAACUUUUACAAUCAUAAAACCAGCUUGUCGAUUGAGUUGAAACCAAUAACUUACCACUUAAAGAUGCAUCAAUCUUAGUCUUCUUGUUUGGAACAGUGUGCUUUGUAUCCUGGGAAAAGAUGGACACACUUUUUUGGCUGCAUUUGAAGAUGCCUUCAACGCACAGCUGUGACACAAUGGGUCUUCAAUCCCCCCUUCAGAGGAUUCAGCCCCUGAAUGGAAGCACAGCUGUUGUUGACACAUUAACAAUACAAAAUGGAGAAUAACAUUUAACAGAAUUAAAGGGAUAUUCCGAUGUAAAUUAAUUUAGGACCAAACGCACUGGAACAGAGUUAGACAACCCCUAGAGAGAAAAAUGUUGCAGACGCCUUGCUUCUCCAAUUAUACUAACUUUAUUAAUGACCGCACGAUAGCAAUACACAGCGGUCUGAGGAGCCAUAAACAAACCUCAACCAAAACGCCA
rnacentral:lncRNA from 1 species